CGCGUAGGCGGUUUGGCAAGUCUGACGUGAAAUGUACCGGUUCAACCGGGGCGCUGUGUCAGAAACUGCCUUACUUGAGGUCGAGGGAGGAGAGUGGAAUUCCUGGUGUAGCGGUGAAAUGCGUAGAUAUCAGGAGGAACACCCGUGGCGAAGGCGACUCUCUAUCUCGAUUCUGACGCUGAGGCGCGAAAGCUAGGGAGCAAACG
rnacentral:rRNA from 1 species